CCUACGGGGGGCUGCAGUGGGGAAUAUUGGACAAUGGGCGAAAGCCUGAUCCAGCCAUGCCGCGUGUGUGAAGAAGGCCUUCGGGUUGUAAAGCACUUUCAGUGGGGAAGAAAGCCUUGGGGCUAAUACCCUCGAGGAAGGACAUCACCCACAGAAGAAGCACCGGCUAACUCCGUGCCAGCAGCCGCGGUAAUACGGAGGGUGCGAGCGUUAAUCGGAAUUACUGGGCGUAAAGCGCGCGUAGGCGGUCUGAUAAGCCGGUUGUGAAAGCCCCGGGCUCAACCUGGGAACGGCAUCCGGAACUGUCAGGCUAGAGUGCAGGAGAGGAAGGUAGAAUUCCCGGUGUAGCGGUGAAAUGCGUAGAGAUCGGGAGGAAUACCAGUGGCGAAGGCGGCCUUCUGGACUGACACUGACGCUGAGGUGCGAAAGCGUGGGUAGCAAACAGGAUUAGAUCCCGAGUAGUC
rnacentral:rRNA from 1 species